UUUAAGCAUAUUAUUAAGCGGAGGAAGAGAAAAUAACUAUGAUUCCCUUAGUAACGGCGAGUGAAGAGGGAGGUGCUCAAAGUGAUAAUCGUGAUACCUCUUAUGGUACCUCGAGUUGUAGCCUCUAGAGGCGUACC
rnacentral:rRNA from 1 species